UACGAAGGGGGCUAGCGUUGCUCGGAUUGACUGGGCGUAAAGGGCGCGUAGGCGGUUCGUACAGUCAGACGUGAAAUUCCUGGGACUCAACCGUGGGGGCUGCCGUUUGGAUACGUUGCGGACUUGAGUGCGGAAGAGGGUCGUGGGAAUUCCCAGUGUAGAGGUGAAAUUCGUAGAUAUUGGGAAGAACACCGGUGGCGAAGGCGGCGACCUGGUCCGAUACUGACGCUGAGGCGCGAAAGCGUGGGGAGCAAACAGG
rnacentral:rRNA from 1 species